rnacentral:rRNA from 1 species
UGGGGGAAUAUUGCACAAUGGGGGGAAACCCGUAGAUGCAGCGACGCCGCGUGAAGGAAGAAGUAUCUCGGUAUGUAAACUUCUAUCAGCAGGGAAGAAAAUGACGGUACCUGAAGAAUAAGCUCCGGCUAACUACGUGCCAGCAGCCGCGGUAAUACGUAGGGAGCAAGCGUUAUCCGGAUUUACUGGGUGUAAAGGGCGUGUAGGCGGGUCUGUAAGUUGGGAGUGAAAUCCAGGGGCUUAACCCCUGAACUGCUUUCAAAACUGCGGAUCUUGAGUGAUGGAGAGGCAGGCGGAAUUCCCAGUGUAGCGGUGAAAUGCGUAGAUAUUGGGAGGAACACCAGUAGCGAAGGCGGCCUGCUGGACAUUAACUGACGCUGAGGCGCGAAAGCGUGGGGAGCAAACAGGAUUAGAUACCCUGGUAGU